rnacentral:rRNA from 1 species
GUUUGUAGUCGUCGUGAAUCCCGGCUCAACUGGAUUGCGAUGAGACUGCAGGCUGAUUGGCAGAGGGGGUAGAUCUACGGUAGCAGGAAUCGUAGAACGUGGAGGACACGAUGCGAAGCAGCCCUGGUCAGAUGACGUCAUGCAGAAGCGUGGGGAGCAAACAGGAUUAGAUACCUGGUAGUCACGCCUAACGAUGUCUACUAGUGUCGGGUUUAAUUACUUGGUAACGCAGCUAACGCGUGAAGUAGACCGCUGGGGAGUACGGUCGCAAGAUUAAAACUCAAAGGAAUUGACGGGGACCCGCACAAGCGGUGGAUGAUGUGGAUUAAUUCGAUGCAACGCGAAAAACCUUACCUACCCUUGACAUGUACGGAAGCCACGAGAGAUCGAGGUGUGCUCGAAAGAGAGCCGUAACACAGGUGUUGCAUGGCUGUCGUCAGCUCGUGUCGUGAGAUGUUGGGUUAAGUCCCGCAACGAGCGCAACCCUUGUCAUUAGUUGCUACGAAAGGGCACUCUAAUGAGACUGCCGGUGACAAACCGGAGGAAGGUGGGGAUGACGUCAAGUCCUCAUGGCCCUUAUGGGUAGGGCUUCACACGUCAUACAAUGGUACAUACAGAGGGCCGCCAACCCGCGAGGGGGAGCUAAUCCCAGAAAGUGUAUCGUAGUCCGGAUUGUAGUCUGCAACUCGACUGCAUGAAGUUGGAAUCGCUAGUAAUCGCGGAUCAGCAUGUCGCGGUGAAUACGUUCCCGGGUCUUGUACACACCGCCCGUCACACCAUGGGAGCGGGUUUUACCAGAAGUAGGUAGCUUAACCGCAAGGAGGGCGCUUACCACGGUAGGAUUCGUGACUGGGGUGAAGUCGUAACAAGGUAACC